rnacentral:rRNA from 1 species
AGUGAACGCUGGCGGUAGGCCUAACACAUGCAAGUCGAACGGCAGCACAGUAAGAGCUUGCUCUUACGGGUGGCGAGUGGCGGACGGGUGAGGAAUACAUCGGAAUCUACUUUUUCGUGGGGGAUAACGUAGGGAAACUUACGCUAAUACCGCAUACGACCUACGGGUGAAAGCAGGGGAUCUUCGGACCUUGCGCGAUUGGAUGAGCCGAUGUCGGAUUAGCUAGUUGGCGGGGUAAAGGCCCACCAAGGCGACGAUCCGUAGCUGGUCUGAGAGGAUGAUCAGCCACACUGGAACUGAGACACGGUCCAGGCUCCUACGGGAGGCAGCAGUGGGGAAUAUUGGACAAUGGGCGCAAGCCUGAUCCAGCCAUACCGCGUGGGUGAAGAAGGCCUUCGGGUUGUAAAGCCCUUUUGUUGGGAAAGAAAAGCAGCAGGUUAAUACCCCGCUGUUCUGACGGUACCCAAAGAAUAAGCACCGGCUAACUUCGUG